rnacentral:lncRNA from 1 species
GAGGCUGCCAGCACCAGACCUGCCCAAGGCCAGAGGGAGCACUUAUUUUCACCAGGAAUUUGAAGUGGGGUUAAUGGGCAGGGUAUACAAGCAGUGAUGAACCGAGACAGUACUGAAGCAUGAAACAAGAGCAUCCAAGCAUCCAUGUCAAGGCCCCUAAUUAGCAUCCUGUGUUGGCUUUCCAAAGCUGGUUGGAAGGAUAAGAGUAAGAGGCCAGGAAAUAAACAGACAUCUUUUCAAUUCUGUCUAAGGUGAGAGUCAAACGCAGUAAAUCUUUAUAUUGCAAACUGCUUCAGCUCCAGACCAAAGC